UACGUAGGGUGCGAGCGUUAAUCGGAAUUACUGGGCGUAAAGCGUGCGCAGGCGGUUCGUUAUGUCCGUUGUGAAAGCCCCGGGCUCAACCUGGGAAUGGCAAUGGAAACUGGCGGGCUAGAGUGUGGCAGAGGGGGGUGGAAUUCCGCGUGUAGCAGUGAAAUGCGUAGAGAUGCGGAGGAACACCGAUGGCGAAGGCAGCCCCCUGGGCUAGCACUGACGCUCAGGCACGAAAGCGUGGGAAGCAAACAGG
rnacentral:rRNA from 1 species